GUGGGGAAUAUUGGACAAUGGGCGAAAGCCUGAUCCAGCCAUGCCGCGUGUGUGAAGAAGGUCUUCGGAUUGUAAAGCACUUUAAGUUGGGAGGAAGGGCAGUAAGUUAAUACCUUGCUGUUUUGACGUUACCGACAGAAUAAGCACCGGCUAACUUCGUGCCAGCAGCCGCGGUAAUACGACGGGUGCAAGCGUUAAUCGGAAUUACUGGGCGUAAAGCGCGCGUAGGUGGUUUUGUAAGUUGGAGGUGAAAUCCCCGGGCUCAACCUGGGAACUGCCUCCAAAACUGCAUGACUAGAGUACGGUAGAGGGUAGUGGAAUUUCCUGUGUAGCGGUGAAAUGCGUAGAUAUAGGAAGGAACACCAGUGGCGAAGGCGACUACCUGGACUGAUACUGACACUGAGGUGCGAAAGCGUGGGGAGCAAACAGGAUUAGAAACCCCUGUAGUCC
rnacentral:rRNA from 1 species